rnacentral:rRNA from 1 species
CUUAAAUGUAGAGUGUCAUUUUUAGAGAUAGAAAUUCCCUUCGGGCUUUCUGCAAGGUGCUGCAUGGUUGUCGUCAGCUCGUGCCGUGAGGUGUCGGGUUAAGUCCCAUAACGAGCGCAACCCUUAUCGUUAGUUGCCAUCUGGUAAUGCAGGGGACUCUAGCGAAACUGCCACCGUAAGGUGAGAGGAAGUGGGGAUGACGUCAAAUCAGCACGGCCCUUAUGUCCAGGGCUACACACGUGUUACAAUGGUCGGUACAGAGGGCAGCUACCUGGUGACAGGAUGCUAAUCUCGAAAACCGGUCUCAGUUCGGAUCGAAGUCUGCAACUCGACUUCGUGAAGCUGGAUUCGCUAGUAAUCGCGCAUCAGCUAUGGCGCGGUGAAUACGUUCCCGGGCCUU